rnacentral:lncRNA from 10 species
CCCACCACCACGCCCGGCUAAUUUAUUUUGUAUUUUUAGUGGAGGCGGGGUUUCACCGUGUUAGCCAGGAUGGUCUUGAUCUCCUGACCUCAUGAUCCACCUGCCUCAGCGUCCCAAAGUGCUAGGAUUACAGGCGUGAGCCACCGCGCUCAGCCUAAUUACUUUUUUUUGAAAAGCAUUGAGCCCAGCAAAGUGCCUGAUCUCAUAGUGCUUACAUCCUCAUUCUCAUUUGCAAGGAAUCUGGACCCUGCUGUGACUAUCUUGGUCAAGUGGCUUCAUUUCCAAGCCUGUUUCCCCAUCUGUGAAAUGGGAACAAUGACACCCUCGCACUCGGGGAGGAAACCAACCACAUGUGAAAAUAGGAGACUCUAGCCAGGCGUGGUGGCAAGCUCCUGUACUCCCAACUACUCAGGAGGCUGAGGCAGGAGAAUUGCUUGAACCCGGGAGGCGGAGGUUGCAGUGAGCCAAGAUCAUGCCAUUGCACUCCAGCCUGGGUGACAGAGUGAGACACCGUCUCAAAAAAAAAAAAAAAAAAAGAAAGAAAAAGAAAAAAGAAAGAAAAGAAAAAAAAAAGAAAAUGGGAGACUCUAGGCUGGGGCCUGUGGGCUAAAUUGGGGUAGGAGGCCAGGCACAGUGGAUCACAACUGUAAUUCCAGCACUUUGGGAAGCCAAGGCGGGCAGAUCACCUGAGGUCAGGAGUUCAAGACCAGCCUGGUCGGCCGGGUGCGGUGGCUCACACCUGUAAUCCCAGCACUUUGGGAGGCCGAGGCGGGUGGAUCACAAGGUCAGGAGAUCGAGACCAUCCUGGUUAACACGGUGAAAAACCCCGUCUCUACUAAGAAUACAAAAAAAAGUUGCAGUGAACCGAGAUGGCGCCACUGAACUCCAGCCUGGGCGACAGAGUGAGACGCCUACUCAAAAAAUAAAUAGGCUGGGUGCAGUAGCUCACGCCUAU